GUACGGGAGGCAGCAGUGGGGAAUUUUGCGCAAUGGGCGAAAGCCUGACGCAGCAACGCCGCGUGAGGGACGAAGGCCUUCGGGUUGUAAACCUCUUUUAAUCGGGAAGAACCUCCCUUGAGCAAAUAGUGAGAGGGACUGACGGUACCGAUAGAAUAAGCCACGGCUAACUCUGUGCCAGCAGCCGCGGUAAGACAGAGGUGGCAAGCGUUGUUCGGAUUUAUUGGGCGUAAAGAGCGCGUAGGCGGUCUUUUAAGUCGGUGGUGAAAUCCCGGGGCUUAACCCCGGCACUGCCUCCGAUACUGGAAGACUUGAGUGCGGGAGAGGAUAGUGGAAUUCCCAGUGUAGAGGUGAAAUUCGUAGAUAUUGGGAAGAACACCAGUGGCGAAGGCAGCUGUCUGGACCGCAACUGACGCUGAGGCGCGAAAGCGUGGGGAGCAAACAGGAUUAGAUACCCCGGUAGG
rnacentral:rRNA from 1 species